rnacentral:snRNA from 1 species
AUGUGUUACAGCUCUUUUAGAAUUUGUCUAGCAGGUUUUCUAGUUUUAUCAGAAAGUCCCA